rnacentral:lncRNA from 1 species
CGGCUGUCAUGGUUGUCUGUGUUUUUAUAGAUUUUAUAAUAGUAGUGAUCCUUUAGUCUCCUGUCCUAGUCUAAUGUCUCAGCCAUCUGCUGGACUCUCCCAGUUCCACACUGAGCUGCUUUAAAAGGUGAUUGUUUUCCUCAAUGUAUGAUAUCACAAUUAUUUGGGUACUCGAAUUUCAUGGCCAGUGGUCACCUUCAUGAAUAAAAUUUCAUGACAGUGGCCUAGCCUGCCUUUGCCAAGCCGUUAGCCUGGCCCCACUCUAUAAAACUCUACCACACACAGCACAGUAGGUUAAUGAUUGUGUGAGUGAAACUACUGUUACCGUCCCCGCUGAAGGUUAUCGGCUUUGACAGCGUUUGCUCAUGUCCAGUGAACCAUAAGUCAUAUUGUAAGAGUACUUAUCACUUACUGCCAAGGCAAUUCAUGAGCAGUUUGUGAGGAAAAAAAUGUGAGCAGGGAUGAGGAGGACACAUGAAAUUUUGGAGGGGAAAAAUAAAGUAUUAGGCAAUGCUAACUCAUCAAAAUGGGCCAAGAAAUAGGCUGUAAAAGAGAUGAAACAAUAAGAGAGCCAUCAUCAUGGAGAUAACUACAGGACCAUCCAUGUCAGUCUGGUACGUACAUUCACUUGCUCCCAUACCAGCCCGAUUUGAAAGCAAUCUGUGACAUUUGGGCUCCAGUAGAACACUUCUUGCCAUGAGAUCACUGCAUAGUUUCACAAAUAUUAUUGAAGUCUCACACAGUGCGUGUGAGGUAGAUCAGUGAAGUUAUCUCAUUUUUUCAGAUGAGUAAAAUACAGCAUAGAGAGGUGAUUGAUUUUUUUUUUUUUUCUUUUUCUUUUUUUUCCCUGAGACCACAGCAAGCCAUCUCUAAAGCCAGAAAUGAGAUCCCAAGAGUCUUGGCUCCUUCAUCCUGGUUUUAUAACCUGCGCCGCACUACCUCUGAUUGAACAGAGUCCUGAGGCUGAUUGGCAACAUCAUGGUUCUAAUCCAAAAGAAACCCCUAAUAAUUUUCCUUUUGAAAAGCAGAGGGAAUCUAUUGCCAGAAAAAACGCCUCUGGAAAGAAGCUGGGGGAACUGGAUGAUGCAUCUUUGUCUCUGAGAAGGUGAACUUGAGAAAGGCUUUGGUAAGUUUCCUAAAUAUACAACAGAAUAUUUAUCUUCAGCCUUGAUCCAGGGAAAAAGGAGUACUGUUUCCUGAAAGGGAGGAGAGGCAGGAAAGCUUUUGGAUUAACACCCCAUUGUGCAGGUAGAAUCCCAGAGGGAGGUAAUGUGUAAUAUCGUUAAAAAUUUUUUAGAAAGUGAGUAGAUGUAAAAUACUUAUUUCUGAAAGAUUUGACACUCGGCCUUAUGUAAAAAAAAAAAAAAAAGGUAUAGAUGGUUUUAAUUUCAAAUUAGCUGUGACUCCCAUAGUGUGUUAUUAAAAAAAAAAUGUUUUUCACUUGGAAUUCUCAGUGUUUUAGAAGAGAGAGAAAUACAGAUUUGUCCAAUUUCACGUGCAAGUCCCAGGGCAGUGACAGUGUGCUGAGGCUGUGGGGUCCAGGAACUGCAGCACAGAACCCAGAGUGAGAAAACCUGGCAUCCACUUGUCAGUCCUGAAAAAUACCACAUCCCUUACCUGCUUCUACCUUUUGAGAGCUUUGCUUUGCAUAUAUAGAGAUAUUUUUUUAAAAAUCUUAAAUUACAGGAAAGCAUUAUAACAUUAAAUAGCUGCAUCUGAAGCACACUGUGUGUAUGAGGAAACUCAAUAUGGCUGAUAGGGUAUUGCCUUCUCGAUAAACCACCCUUCACUUCCAGUGCCCACCGCAUGAAAAAUGAGGAGAUUCGUUGAACAAGAUUGCCCUCUGCGGGCUGCACACACCUCCUUCCCUCACUGUGAUAUUCGUUCCCCUUUUCUACACAGGCAAAUUAAAUAUGCUGUGAACAUAAUGGAGUUUGGAUUAAAAAAAAAAAACCCACACAAAAAAACCCCAGUAAUUACUUGAAUAGAUAUUUGGGGACAGCUCUUUAUUCUUACUGAGAAUGGGUCCCAAACAUUAAUUUAAUUUGCCUAAAUAGCUCCUGCUUAGGUUUGCUGUUAUCUGAAGGCAAUGAGCUAAUGGAGAUGAUGCAGAAGGGAUUUGAUUUAGCCCUCUAGCUGUUUGUUCAAGUUGAGCUACCAGCACAGACCAUAACCAGCAUCUGGUCUAAUGAGCUACAGUGAGAGUCCCGCUGAUUGUAUCUUUGUUGUACCGGAUAACAAGGAAGAAUCACGCUAAAACAGACUUCUGGUGAAGGCUGUGAGAGUAAAUACAGCUCUUGGGAGAUGGAGGAGCGAAUACCUUGCAACUCCUUACCUAAUCUCUGCUGAAUAAUGAUCUCUUAAGAAUCUCAUUUUUAAACUAAACCAAAAAUCAUCACCAUGGUUUAUAAUUUUCAUAUAACAGCAGGUACAAGUCAAUAUCAUAAAACAGCGUAUGAAUAUGACAGGUGUUUAAGCAUUUCACUCAAUAUAUUGUUGUGUGAUUCCUUGACAAUAGGACUGAAGACUAAAUAGGGUAAAAGUGUGAUUUUUAAAAAACUGAAUGAAUGAUAUGUAACUCUGAACUUUAAAACCAGCAAAACUAUGUUGAAAUAUCCCUGCAUAGCUAUAGCAAUUAGGGAUGUCAUUUUGUAUUCAUAAUUGACAUAGCAACAUCAACAAAACCUCUAGUACAAAUACAUUGACGAACCUGCUUAUGUUGGUAUAAUACACGUUAGCUCAGGAGGCAGGGUAAACUUUGCCUUUAAACACUCUUAUUUCAAAACAGUUUGCAGAGAGAAAUUAUUUAGCCUCUUCUUUCUUUUUAUAACAUACUAUGUGCGCUUGCAAAAGAUGGAAAAUGUCCCUUAAUAGUAAUAAUUAAGUAUAAUACCGUAUCUGAAAUAAUAGUAAAAUUGCAAAGAGUGCAGUAAGACUCUCCUGGGUCUCUGAUCACCGACUCAUAAAUAGCAAGGGCUCCAGGCCAGAGAAGACUAAAGAGUCAGGCAGCCUUGUUUCUAGCAGAACCUGAAGCCCACUAGGAGUUCAUAGAUCUAGAAUAGUAGCUGAUUUCAAUAAGUAACUUUAAUCAGUAAAUUCCAAUGGAAAAAGACUUAAUCAGAUUUUUUUCUCCUGAGUAGCUCAAUAAAAUAUGUACUCUGAAACA